rnacentral:rRNA from 1 species
AACGAACGCUGGCGGCGCGCCUAAUACAUGCAAGUCGAGCGAGAAGACGUAGCAAUACGUUUGUAAAGCGGCGAACGGGUGAGGAAUACAUGGGUAACCUACCCUCGAGUGGGGAAUAACUAGCCGAAAGGUUAGCUAAUACCGCGUACGCUCCUUGGACUUCGGUUCAGGGAGGAAAGACGAUACCGUGGGUAUCGCGCUCUUGGAUGGGCUCAUGUCCUAUCAGCUUGUUGGUGAGGAACGGCUCACCAAGGCUUCGACGGGUAGCUGGUCUGAGAGGACAAUCAGCCACACUGGCACUGAGACACGGCCCAGACUCCUACGGGAGGCAGCAGUGGGGAAUAUUGGACAAUGGGCGCAAGCCUGAUCCAGCAAUGCCGCGUGUGUGAAGAAGGCCUGCGGGUU